UUUGGUCGAUUAUAUUUCUUUGAUCCCUUUAUUUAUUGGACUAGCGACAUCAAGAUAUAGAUAAAUUUUGUCAUCAACCACUAUACUCACAAUAAAGUUCAGUUAAAGCCAUUUAAUUUCAUAUAUAUUUGUUAUGGUCUAUCUCUUUUAGUUUAAAAGAUAAAAGGGGCCACUUCUAGGUGGGACACCCUGUUUGAAUGACCCUGUUUGAAUGGAUGUUGCUCGCAAAUGUUAAAUAAUAACUCCAUGGAAACUCCAUGGUGUACGAUUUAGGAAAUCACGUAUUGGCAACUUUCCCUAUUUAUCAUUUAUUAAUAAAAAUGUUUCAGCAAGUAAAAGUCAUAUGAGCAGCAAGUAAAAGUCACGGCCAAAGUUGGCUUUCUGAAAACGCUCGGCUAUUUGUCAUAAGUUUUAAAAAGUUGAAAAUGAAUCAAUAGCGAAUUCGGGAGAUGCCAAAGGUGACAUAUGAUCACAGACUAAAAUUAAUUUAAUAUAAUGUCAACCGAUCAGUCGAGAUCGAUAUGCGUGGCUGGAACGAGAGUGUGAUGUGAAAACGUGGUACAUGAUUUUUUAGACACAUAGGUGCCAAUCCAUGAUACCAAUCUCGACUCGAUACGUGCGGGAGCAACUUUUACAUGCUUAUUCCCCUUUUGUAUUGUUGGUCACCGAUGAUCGACAGGGCGUUUAACGUGUUAAAUGAAUCAUUGUUAAAAUUGGAAGGACACAAGGAUUAUUAUCAACUUGUUUUUCAUUCACAUAAAUCAUUCGAAAAAAUAAAUAAU